UCAUAUAUUUGAUCCAUGUGAGAGAGUACUAGUAGAGAAGCUUGUAAACAAACCUCUUGAUAUGAUCAAGUAUCAAAAGCCUUGCCCCUGGUGCUGGUGGAAUGUUUACUUCUUGCUCUGAUUGUUUCCUUCACCUGAAAGAAGAACAAAAACCCGUGCGUAGCAAACAGCCCAGGAGAGUGCGUGUGCAGGCCUUACUUUCAAGCCUUUGCUCACAAAAGCGUACGCCAACCCACCACCUGAGGCUGAGACCAUGCUGCAAAGUUUGUCAAAACCCAAUCAGAAACAACGUCUGUAACAGGUUUUCAUCAAAUCAAUAUCACCCAAAGAACAAAUCUUGAAGAUUCUCAGACAAGGAAAUAUAAACAGGGAUCAAAAAGUUGAGUGAAAAAAGAAUGAAACUUUACGCAGCCGUAAGAUCAUCUUUGCUUCUGAUUCCUUUCAUUAUGUGUUCAAUUCCCAGACGACGAAACAACAAAGAAUCGAAUCGGAAAUAAGAAAAUAGCAAACCCAGACGAAAAUCCUAAUUCGAUUAAAAUCCCCAAUUCGAUUUGAAACCCUCAUUCUAGUAAAAUCCCACAAUCGAACCGUAAAAAUUGAUGAAAUCAACAUGCAUCAACUCCAAAUGCAAAGAUAAUGAACUAAAACGCUCUGAUUUAUCUUCAACACCGAAGAUCGCCGAAUCACCUUUUGUUUCGUCGGAGGAAUUUUUUUUAUGUAAUUGUCGCGACUUCUUUUUUUUUUCUCCUUACAAAACACGACCCUGACCCUCACCAAUCGGACUUUGCCAACUCAUCAAGGACCAAAUCCUUAAUCUCCUUAGUUAAGGACUCUUUCUUAACUUAUGAUUUUUUUAUAUUAAUAUUUUAAUCAAUCCCGCAUAAGAAUUAAUGCUAAGGAUCUACUUAAACCCCGCGUUGCGGGUGGUCUUAACUAACGUAUUAAAAUGUACUUGAAUUGAUAGAUUGGCUUAGGAAAGAACAAAGUGAAAUUAAAGAAUCGAUGCGCGUAAAGUAACACGCCUGUGCUGUCCCUUUCAUAUCGAAGACACGCAAGUUUUUCUAAUUUCUAUAUAUUUAUUUGACUGCCUCCAUUCCACCCAGCACAAUCACCAUAUCAUCUUCGUAUAUUUUAAAUAGUCUUUUCGUUGUCAAAUAUUUCAAUGCCAAUAUGUCUUUGUUAAUCAUUCAAUGCUGUAUUUAUAAGCCAUCAUGCAAUCAACCACGGCAGAUCAUCAAGUAAACGGGUAUUAAAAUGUUAUGCACGUCAAUGGAAGUUUGACUGGAAUUAUAUAAUAGUUUUGAUAUAGUGUAACGAGUUAAUACGCACGUAAAUGUGUAGGAUCUUAGACUAGAGAGAGACUUCGAGGAACCAGGGACCGGUUUAGUUUGUUCGAAGCAUGUGAAAUGUAGUUGUUCACGUUCUCAUUGACGCCACUUUUUAAAUAGUUUAUUAUCGAUGUUAUCUUAUUUCUAACAUCUUUUGAAAAACAAAUACUGAAACAUUUAUAUCAAUAGAAAGAGAUCGUAUAAAAUUCACCGCUAGAAUAGCGCUUUAUCAUUGAUUAGGUCGUAUAUAUAGUACAAAUAAUUUGAGCACGACUCUGAACUUAUUUCUGGAAUGGUCCCGGCUAAAUCAUCAAUGGUCACAUUAUUAUUGCCGUCUCUUCACGCUAUUUUUGUAGUAUUAUUAACUUAUUUGUUACUAUUAAACAAGAUACGGACGUCUGCAAUUGUGAAUCAUCAAGUCAGGUCAAGCAAUCAAUUACUCGAUCUUUUUUUUUGGCUUAUUUUAAAAUUUAAACGAACUACAUUGACUAAUUGACUAAUUUACUAAUUUAUUCAUCUUGCUUCUAUCACAUACCAAAGUCCACUUUAGGUUCUGAUAGGGGACGUAAGGUUAUGUAUGCAAAACUUAGCUUCAUCUUUCCUCUAACACAUACUGAGAAGUUCUAUAAUCAUAUAAUUGUUCUUGUUAUUCAUCUAAGACCUCAAGGCCUAUAUUUAUACACAUCAAAUUUCCUAAUACUAUUGAAUAGAGGAAACUACAAUAAUGGAAAUAUUCUAUUCUAAUGUCAUCUAGGUUUGGGAUAUGUUAAUAUCCCAAUACCUUCCCUCAAGUUGGAGCAUACAAAUUUUGUAUCUCCCUCAAGUUGGAGCAUACAAAUUUUGUAUGUCCAACUUGAACUACAAGUCUUCAAAUUCAAAUAGGUUGUUGGUUCUUUGUCAAAAUCAUCAGUUCGCCGGUUUCAGUUCGUCGAAUUCAGUAUUAUCGGGUUCGGUUUCAUCAGUUUCAUCAAUUCGAGGUCAUUGUAACAACAGGAAAAUUCACCAUCCUUGUUGAUCAAAGAAAAUCGCAGGUCGAUAGUUAGAGAAGUUGCAAGUCGAGAGAUCGAUUGUUCGAGGUUUCAGGUCGUAAGGUUGAGAGUUCGAGGUCGCAUGUCGUGAGAUCGAAAGUCGUGGGGUCGAAGUUGUUCGAUGGCCGUGAGUGAAUUCACAUGUUUGUUAGGUCGACGUUCAUUAUUCCAUGCCUUCACGUCAUCAUCCGGAUCGUCGUCUUCAUCUUCUUCAAUUGUUUCCACCAUGACCAAACUCUUCUAAUUACCAGAUACGGAAGCGCUAUUAUGGUCCACAAAAAUCGUUAUGGCUCUGAUACCAUGAGAAGUUCUAUAAUCAUAUAAUUGUUCUUGUUAUUCAUCUAAGACCUCAAGGCCUAUAUUUAUACACAUCAGAUUUCCUAAUACUAUUGAAUAGAGGAAACUACAAUAAUGGAAAUAUUCUAUUCUAAUGUCAUCUAGGUUUGGGAUAUGUUAAUAUCCCAAUACAUACCAAGGUGUACUUUAGGUUCUGAUAGGUAUGUAUUUAAAACCUACUAAUAUUUCUUCUAAUACGUGCCAAAGUUCACUUUAGGUUCUGAUAGAGGCCGUUAGGUUAUGUAUGCAAACCUUACGCUCAUAUUUCUUGUAACACAUACCAAAGUUCACUUUAGGUUUUGAUAGGGCUGUAAAAAUUGUAUGCAAUACGCAAUGCGCAACUACACACCAUUUCCUUUUUUUUAAGGAACAAAUCAUUUAUCAAAGAAGAGAUUACAAUAGUACGAUUUUAUAUAAGUAGUAAACUUGAAUUGGCAACUCGAAGAAGGACAAAUGGUGGAAGGAGAUUGUCGGCAGAAAAAAGAAGCUAUUUUGAUUAGGGAACAAAUCGUAAAAGUGGAGUCCACAAAGAAAAGGACAGGGAAGCCAAACUCGAGCAUCUAAAAACUCUUAAAAACACUACACAACACACAUCCACAUCGCAUUGCCGGGCCCACGCCAUCUUUUCCUAUAUUUUUAUUUUUUAAUUGGGCCGUUUUUGGCCCACUUGAGGGACCGUUUCUCCUUUAUUUCCCCUUCUCCAACACGUGAAGUUGAUUCCAGACUUGGAACUUUCCUCGACUUCAAUUUAAACAUCAAACAAAACUCUUCAUCUUAUACAUUAUUAUAUUUUAUAAUCUAUCAGUUAUAUAUUAUUGCUAUCAACCGUGGAAAUUAAGAUGAUGGGUCAUGCCAUAUCGGCACGCAAGAGCUUAAUCUUCUAGUUGUGUGAGUCACCUUCACCAUCUGAUAGAGUCACAAUGAACAAUUGAUUUUUUUCUUUCUCAAAUGAGCUUUCACAAAAGUCAAUACAAUACAAUAAUACGGUGACACAUUAAACACUCAAAACAAUACAAUAGACA